UUCCAGUCCAGUGGGCUCCACACCUGUCGUCUGCAUCAGGAGGCUCAUGUCUGACCCUGUCUUCCUGCCAGUCCUGAGGACGGAGCCUGAGCCUCCAUCGUGCACCACGCAGGGAGGACAGCGGACCUGCUCUCCAUGAUCAUGGCCCAGCAGAGGGGAAGCGCAGCUCAAUACACAGAGCCAGAGAAUCUCACAGGUGUCUUAGAAUUCCUGCUCCUGGGACUCCCAGAUGAUCCAGAACUGCAGCCCGUCCUCUUUGGGCUGUUCCUGUCCAUGUACCUGGUCAUGGUGCUGGGGAACCUGCUCAUCAUUCUGGCCGUCAGCUCUGACUCCCAUCUCCACAGCCCCAUGUACUUCUUCCUCUCCAACCUGUCCUUGGCUGACAUCGGUUUUGCCUCUACUACUGUCCCCAAGAUGAUUGUGGACAUCCAGGCUCAUAGUAGACUCAUCUCUUACGUGGGCUGCCUGACUCAGAUGUCUUUUUUGAUCUUUUUCGCAUGUAUGGAAAGUCUGCUCCUGAUUGUGAUGGCCUAUGACCGGUUCGUGGCCAUCUGUCACCCCCUGCACUACCAAGUCAUCAUGAGCCCACGACUCUGUGGCUUCUUAGUUUUGGUGUCUUUUUUUCUUAGCCUUUUGGACUCUCAGCUGCACAAUUUGAUUGUGUUACAACUUACCUGCUUCAACGAUGUGGAAAUCUCUAAUUUUUUUCUGUGACCCUUCUUAACUUCUCAAGCUGGCCUGUUCUGACACCUCCAUUAAUAACAUGGUUGUAUAUUUUAUUGGUGCCAUAUUUGGUUUUCUCCCUCUCUUAGGGAUCCUUUUCUCUUACUAUAAAAUUGUUUCCUCCAUUCUGAGAGUUCUCUCUUCAGGUGGGAAGUAUAAAGCCUUCUCCACCUGCAGCUCUCACCUGUCAGUUGUUUGCUUACUUUAUGGAACAGCCCUUGGAGGGUACCUCAGUUCAGCUGUGUCCCUUUCCUCCAGGAAGGGUGCAGUGGCCUCAGUAAUGUACAUGGUGGUCACCCCCAUGCUGAACCCCUUCAUCUACAGCCUGAGAAACAGGGACAUUCAAAGUGCCCUGCAGAGGCUGCACGGCAGAAUAAUGUAAUCUCCUUAUCUGUUGCAUCUUUUUUGUAGUAUUGGUUGGAAAAGGCAGAGCUUUGAUACAAAAUAUCAAGACCUUUAAAUCCUUCCCCCUUGGUUACAUUAUAUUUAUUGCUUGAUAGGUUCAAUUCCUCUCCAUGUUUCAUAUGUGAAUGUGGGCGGCAAGCCACCAGGGGCCGAGGCAAGAGACCGAGGGCACGAGCUGUUCCAGCAUAAUAAAGAAAAUAUAUAAAAUAAGAAUAGUUAUACUAGAUAUAGAUCAUAGAUAUGAUUAUAUAUGAACAUCAUUAAUCAUUAGUUUGUAGCAAUUACUCUUUAGUCCAAUAUUAAUCUUCACUCUACAAUCAUAACCUAGGAAAAACCAGGCCAUACAGAGAUAGGAGCUAAAGGGACAUGGUGAGAACUGACCAGAAGACAAGUGUGAGCCCUCUGUUAUGCCCGGACAGGGCCACUAGAGGGCUCCAUGGUCUAGCGGUAACGCCAGUGCCUGGGAAGGAGCCCCGUUACCUUGCGGAUCUUGGUCUAGCAGUAGGGUCAGUGCCUAGAAAAAGCACUCCUUACUCAGCUGACCGGGAAAAGGAGUCUCUCUUUUCCCGGGGGAGUUUAGAGAAGACUCUACUCCUCCACCUCUUGUGGAGGGUCUGACAUCAGUCAGGCCUGCCUGCAGUUAUGCGGAGGCCUGUUUCCCUGUGAUGCUGUGCUUCAGCGGUCACGCUCCUGUUUCACUUUUAUGUUCCACCCUGUACAACUGGCUCUGCCUUCUAGACAGCAGUAGCAGAAUUAGUGAAAGUACUAAAAGUCUCCGAAAUGCAGAAAUAAUGGUGUAAGCUGUCCUCUCUCUCUCCGCCUCGGCUGCCAAACAGGGAAGGGCCCCCUGUCCAGUGGACACGUGACUUGUGUGACCUUACCUAUCAUUGGAGAUGGCUCACACUCCUUACCCUGCCCCCUUGUCUUGUAUCCGAAAAAUAACAGUGCAGCCAGGCAUUUGGGCCACUACCGGUCUCCGCGCCUUGGUGGUGGUGGUCCCCCCGGGCCCAGCUGUCUUUUCUUCUCUUUGUCUUGUGUCUUUAUUUCUACAAUCUCUUGUCUCCACACACGGGGAGAAAGACCCACAGACCCUGUAGGGCUGGUCCCUACAUGUGAAUAUUGUUUCCAUUGUUUUGUCUUUAAUUGGAAUGUGAAGGUAUUCUGGAAUUCUUUGUUUAUUGCAAAAAUUCGUGGCUGAAUCCAGUAUACCUGGACAGCCUCCUUUAGUUUCCGAGCAAUGACCCUGGUAUCUAGGUGAAAUCACAACCCUGUUUUUAUAUAUAAGAAGUCCUUGCUUAAAGUCAAUAGCAUCUUGGAAACUGCAACCUUAAGGAAAUGAUAUACAGCAGGUCCUCAAGUAAAAUUGUUUUGUUCAAAGUCCAUUAGUUAUAUUGUUGAUAAGGAAAAACACACGGUUUCAUUAUAAAUCAUUUCACUUAAAUCACAGUUUCCAAAAACAUAUUGAGGGUGUUAAUUGAGGACUUACUGUAUUUCAAAUUUAAGUUAAUUUUCACAGUUCGUGUGGAAAUUAUUUACAUAUUACAUCUGUAAAAUCACUUUAAGCAGGCUAUGUGUGACGAACUUGUUCACGAGCCCUCAACCUUGGCUUUUAUUGACCUCACCUGGGGAGCUUACAAAUGAUGAUGGCUGGGCUCUCUUACCCAGAGAUUUUGAUUUACUUGAACCUGUGUGGGUCUGAGAGGUUUUAAAAGCACCAGUGAUAGUUCAGACGAUGAAGUUCUUCAAGGGAUCAAGCUCAAAUGGGUAAGCUACUAAAGAGCUGAUUGCAGCACUAGACAAUGUAAUUUUCUUCAACUGUCUUCUUCAAAUUCAUUAUCCUUCAGCAAUAUACAGAUUGUCAUUAUGCUGGGAAUUUUUAGUAAGCACUUGGAAUUUGUUGAAAAUGUUGAUUUAUAUACGUAUAGAUUUUCUUCGGAUUUCACUCUUGUGCGUACUGAAAGGGAAAAUAGAAAAGGAUAACAUGGUAACAACAUCCCUAAAACUUCACAUGCUAUAACUGAUUUUUAAAAAUUUGUUUAGUUUUCUUUCUUUUUUUAUGAAGUGUGGGGUAGGUACACAAAGUUAUACUAUUCAGCCUUUAAGAAAUGAAAGUGAGUCAUUUGCAGCAACAUGGAUUUAAGUGAAAUAAGCCAGGCAUGAAAAGACAAAUAUGGCAUGUUCCCACUCAUACCUAUGAGCUAAAACAGUGAAUCUUGUGAAGGUACAAGGUAGAAUGGUAAUUACUAGAGGCUGGUAAGGGAAGGAAGGAGUGGAGCAUGAAAAGAUGUUUACAGGGUACAAAAAUGCAGUUAGAUAGAAGAAAUAAGUUCCAGCGUUUCCUAAUACAGUAGGGGAAUUCUAGUUAGUGGUAAUUGAUUGCAUAUUUCAAAGUAGCUAGGAGAGAAGAUUUGUAUUGUUCUCAUUAUUCUGGUUUCUAAGCCAUUGUCUUUCUGUUCCCUUCCCGCCUUUCUCUACUCAGCUCUUUCAUGCUAGGUUGGGGCUCUUGAAGUUAUUGCUCUGUUUUCCAUCUGGUGUUCUUGUUACAGACUUUCAUGAACACUGAAUUUUACUACACUGAAAUUCGGUAUACUUUGCGACCACCUUCUAGUAUACCCCUAUGCCUGCCUCAGUGUUUAGAGGCUGCUGCCUUCAGUUACUGUCUCUGUUACCACAUUGUGUCCUUUAGCCUUUGUCCUGCAGUAACAAUCAAGCCAACUCCCUCUGUUCAAUUCUCUUCAUAAUAAGUAGAUUAGUUAUUCAAAAUAACUAGAUUAGUUUCUAUUUUUUUUUUUUUUUGAGAUGGAGUCUCCCUCUGUCACCCAGGCUGGAGUGCGGUGGCAUGAUCCCGACUCACUGCAACCUCCACCUCCCAGGUUCAAGCAAUUCUCCUGACUCAGCCUCCCGCGUAGCUAGGAUUACAAGGACCGCCCACCACGCCUAGCUAAUUUUUGUAAUUUUAGUGGAGACGGGGUUUUGCCAUGUUGGCCAGGCUCGUCUGGAACUUCCGACCUCAGGUGAUCCACCUGCCUCGGCCUCCCAAAGUGCUGGGAUUACAGGCAUGAGCCGCGUGCCCAGCCCUGGUUUCUAUUCCUGACCUAACCUUGACUGAGGAACAAAAGUAUGUUGGAGUUGUCUGCAAGGGGAAUAUUUUAAAAAUGUGCUGAUGAAAUAAAGCUGCUUUUAAAACAUAUGUCUUUGUGAAGAGAGUCCAACUGAAGUUUAAGUGGCAGUGCCCUAUUUCCGGUUGCUGUGUGACUCUAGUGAUGUCUAGGGAUUGUUAAAUCACCAGUUUCAUCAUAAAUAAUUUCAGGGUUUUCUUCUUUUACUUUACACUGAGCUACCAAAAGUCCAUGUCACCAGCAAACAUGAACUCUCCUUUAUUUCACAUAAAUGAUAGUCAAAGAAUUUGAUAAGUGGGACAUUAAUGCUGCCUUUUUUUUUUUUUUUUUUUGAGACAGAGUCUUGCUCUGUUGCCCAGGCUGGAAUGCAAUGGCAUGAUCUUGGUUCACUGCAACCUCCGCCUCCUGGGCUCAAGUGAUUCUCCUGCCUCAGCCUCCCAAGUAGCUGGGACUACAGGCACACACCACCAUGCUCAGCUAAUUUUUGUAUUUUUAGUAGAGAUGGGGUUUUGCCAUGUUGUCCAGGCUGGUCUCGAACUCCUGACCUCAAGUGAGCCACCCACCUCGGCCUCCCAAAGUGCUAGGACUACAGGCGUGAGGCACUGUGCCUGGCCUAAUGCUGCUUUUUGAUGUCACAUGGUGGACUCUCCCCACUGGUAAUGCUUUGUUGUUGGCACUUUUAUUUUAAUAUUUAGAAGAGUGCUAUGAUGGAUUAAUACCUUGUGAUGGGAAAUGUUUGGAUUGUUUGGAUGGUUCACAGUAGCCAACCAAAAGCGAUGUGACAAACUUCAAUCGGGAUAGAAUAUACAGAUGGUAGAAAAAAUGUGGGAUUUAUGGACCCUUCAUCACUCAUAUAUUGGGCUCUUAAACGUGGGACUUUUGAUAACUCAGAGGUCCUUUCUGAACCCCAUGUUCCUCAGCAGCAAAUUAAUUGCAGUAGUCUUUUCUUCCAAGGCCAUGCAAUGAUUUUAUAUCAUGGUGCCAUUAACCAGUCAAAUGUUAGUUUCCCUUGAAAUGAUAGCCCCUAUUAUUACAUUGAGGAAGUUAAUUUUAGGGCCUGGCAUGGUGGCUCAUACCUGUAAUCCCAGCACUUUGGGAGGCUGAUUUGGCAGGAAAGUUUAAGGCAGGUGUUUGAGACCAGACUUGGCUACAUAGUGAGACCCUGUCACUACAUUUUUAAAAAAUUUAAAAGAAGUUAAUUUUAAAUGGGUAUUCUCAGAAUAUACAAGUAACUGGAUAUUACAAACUGUGACCUUGAGUAUAAAACAAAACAUUUCUUUUUUUUUUUUUUUUUAAAGACAGAGUCUCGCUCUGUUGCCCAGGCUGGAGUGCAGUGGCACAAUCUCAUCUCACUGCAACCUCUGCCUCCCGGGUUCAAGCAAUUCUCCUGCCUCAGCCUCUUGGGUAGCUGGGACUGCAGGUGUGUGCCACCAUGCCCAGCUAAUUUUUGCAUUUUUAUUAGAGACAGGGUUUCAUCAUAUUGGUCAGGCUAAUCUCGAACUCUUGACCUUGUGAUCCGCCUGCCUCAGUCUCCCAAAGUGCUGGGAUUACAGGCGUGAGCCACCACACCCAGGUAAAACAAAACAUAUUUCUAUUGAACAAGUUCAUCUGUAGAGAUGUGAUAACAACUAAGAGUCUGUUUGAGGAGACAUAUCAAAUGUACUGAUUAGAACACUAUUUUUGCUACUAC
ensembl:lncRNA novel transcript